rnacentral:lncRNA from 1 species
GGCAUGGAAGGAGAGAGAGAGGGGCUUUGUGCACACAAAAUCUUAAGGGGCAUCAAGAGUUGGUGCCCCAACUACUUGCCUCAUUUGAUGUGGGUGCCCUCUCUACCUGCCUUAUGGGAUGUGGGGCACCCCAUCUACUUGCCAUAUGAGGUAAGGAUCUUUUCAAUUGGAUCUGAUUUUUUUGAAAAAAAUCAGAUUAAAAGGCAAGAAACCUUAUGAGAUAAAGACUAGCCUUUUUAGAUAGAUUAGAAAUUGAUUUGGAAUCAAGAAAAUAUCUAUUUAAGAAAUGGUCUCCUAAGAUUUUAAAAUUAAUUAAAUUAAAAAUUUAGAUCUCCAUCUCCUUUCCAUCACCACGCCAACCUCUCUUUCUCCUCUCUUUCCAAUGCCUAAGUAUUGGGCAUCCCAUCUUCCCCCAUGUCUAAGUUGAGGAUGAUCUCUUCUACAGCAAAGAAUAGGGAGAAAGACUACAGUUCAAACAUUGAGAUUGCAGUC